rnacentral:rRNA from 1 species
UACGGAGGGUGCAAGCGUUAAUCGGAAUUACUGGGCGUAAAGCGCACGCAGGCGGUUAAUUAAGUUAGAUGUGAAAUCCCCGGGCUUAACCUGGGAAUGGCAUCUAAAACUGGUUAGCUAGAGUCUUGUAGAGGGGGGUAGAAUUCCAUGUGUAGCGGUGAAAUGCGUAGAGAUGUGGAGGAAUACCGGUGGCGAAGGCGGCCCCCUGGACAAAGACUGACGCUCAGGUGCGAAAGCGUGGGGAGCAAACAGG